rnacentral:snRNA from 1 species
GUGCCUUUUCGCAUUCGAUCAACGAGACCACAGAGAAGAUUAGCAUGGCCCCUGCAUAAGGAUAACACGCUUCUAGAAGGAGCUACUGAUUUUCUUU